ensembl:lncRNA
UAGCUGUCUGACUCCAUGUGUGACCUCACAAACCCCCUGGGAAGGAUCGGUUGGCUUAGCUGCCUGUCUUCCGUGCGGUUCUCAGUGGCGGGUCUCUCCUACGCCCAGGAGUGACAGCCUCGUGAGUCGAGCGGUCCACUCAUCAGGAAGAGCUCACUGCCUUCAUCCGCAGACAGUGUGCCGGGAACUUAGGCCGCGUAGGUGAAGAGAACACAUUCUUGCCACGGGAGAGAAGAAAUGGCCUGCUGAGUUAUCCUUCUGGAAGCCAAGCUGUUUCGGGAGCUGUACCCUGGAGGUGACUCCAGACACGCUGCCUGCUUCCCAGGGAGGUUACGGGAUCCAGUGUGAGCUGCUGGCAUGGCGGGGGAGGAGGGGCUCCGCGGUCCUGAGGCCAUCAGGCCCUUUGCUGGGUGGUUCCCAGCUCAAGGCCAGCAUCACUGCCCCUCACGCUGACCCCAGUGGCUCAGCUCCUCGUGCUGCCAGCCUCCUUCGUGCCCAUCUGAAAGUCACCUUUUCCAGCUGCCCGGAGCUGCCGGCCAGGGAGGACGUGAGUGACCUGGUGACUAUGGCACUCAGGCUGGAAAGACGCAGGGAGGAGGCCUGGGCCUAUUUGUCAUCGUUCCUGUUGCCACUUCAUAGUCUUUAUUAUUAGGCAUCUUACGGACAUUGCUUUUAUAGGCACCAUGACUUUAUCCAUCAGACACCGGAUGCUAUUGGCAGGAAAUGAGCUAGAAGAAGAGAUUCUUGUUCUCCUCCAGGGAAUGCUCUGACCAUGGCUGACUCUCCUCACAGGAUUUUGCCUAGAGCUGCCCUACAUGAAACAGCCAGAAGUAAUUUCAAGACCGGUGGCAGAUCCCUGCUGACCUCCCCCAGGGGGGUUUGACAGCUCCCCUCUACUCCACACCGGCUGCCUCUCUCUGGACGGCAGUCUCCUGUCUCUCACCUGGUCCUAGGAGAUGUGCCACUUCUCCACGGGCACCAUGGGGCAGGGACAGAGGGCUCCCCGUGCCCCGGGCCCCCUCGCGGUGCUCGUGCAGCUCAGGGUUGGUGACCCUUGGGCCUUGGGGAGGGUCACGGGCUGUGAUGAUGGAUUUUAAAACAAUGUUUUAGAAUGGUCUUAACUAACUUCUCCAUCACCAUUUCCUCCCUUUUCAAUCUGUCCUACACAAGACUUACAGAUCAGACUUCUAAAAGGGGUGCUCCAGACUUUGGGGCCAAGACUGCCUGAAGAGCCCUGUGCAGCACGAGGGAGUCAGGCCCACUUUGCUGGGCUGAGGGAGCCAUGAAGGGUGUUUUAAACCCUGGGAUAAUGGGAUGAAGUUUCUAAUUAAACUGUUGGGGUGCUACCAGGAGAAUGGACUGCGAGGGGAAAGCUGGAAGCCAGUCAGGAGCUGGGCCAUACUGCAGAUGGAAGCUGACAGGGCCUGAUGCAGAGAGAGGGAGCAAUUGGGUGGGAAUGGAAAGAAGGAAACAGCAGGCAGGGAGGUGGGAUGGGCUGGAACUGGUAACUGACAGAGUGUUGAGGUGAGCAGCAAUGAAGAGUAAGGCUGACCUCCCACUUCCAGCUUUGGCAACCAGAUGGAGAACCGUACCUUCCUGAAUAGCAGAAUGAAGGAGUGUGUGUGUGUGGC